GUCAGAGUCAUUCUGAGAACAUGAGGUC
rnacentral:piRNA from 1 species